UACAGAGGGUGCAAGCGUUAAUCGGAAUUACUGGGCGUAAAGGGCGCGUAGGUGGUUGCGUAAGUGAGAUGUGAAAUCCCCGGGCUUAACCUGGGAACUGCAUCUUAUACUGCGUAGCUGGAGUGCGGUAGAGGGUAGUGGAAUUUCCGGUGUAGCGGUGAAAUGCGUAGAUAUCAAGAGGAACACCUGAGGUGAAGACGGGUUGCUGGGCUGACACUGACGCUGAGGCGCGAAAGCUAGGGUAGCAAACGGG
rnacentral:rRNA from 1 species